rnacentral:rRNA from 2 species
AAGCACUUGCUGCGUAAGCCCACGCCGGUCGAAGAUACCAGGCCGCUGCGACUGUUUAUUAAAAACACAGCACUCUGCAAACACGAAAGUGGACGUAUAGGGUGUGACGCCUGCCCGGUGCCGGAAGGUUAAUUGAUGGGGUUAGCUAACGCGAAGCUCUUGAUCGAAGCCCCGGUAAACGGCGGCCGUAACUAUAACGGUCCUAAGGUAGCGAAAUUCCUUGUCGGGUAAGUUCCGACCUGCACGAAUGGCGUAACGAUGGCGGCGCUGUCUCCACCCGAGACUCAGUGAAAUUGAAAUCGCUGUGAAGAUGCAGUGUAUCCGCGGCUAGACGGAAAGACCCCGUGAACCUUUACUAUAGCUUUGCACUGGACUUUGAAUUUGCUUGUGUAGGAUAGGUGGGAGGCUUUGAAGCGUGGACGCCAGUUCGCGUGGAGCCAUCCUUGAAAUACCACCCUGGCAACUUUGAGGUUCUAACUCAGGUCCGUUAUCCGGAUCGAGGACAGUGUAUGGUGGGUAGUUUGACUGGGGCGGUCUCCUCCUAAAGAGUAACGGAGGAGUACGAAGGUGCGCUCAGACCGGUCGGAAAUCGGUCGUAGAGUAUAAAGGCAAAAGCGCGCUUGACUGCGAGACAGACACGUCGAGCAGGUACGAAAGUAGGUCUUAGUGAUCCGGUGGUUCUGUAUGGAAGGGCCAUCGCUCAACGGAUAAAAGGUACUCCGGGGAUAACAGGCUGAUACCGCCCAAGAGUUCAUAUCGACGGCGGUGUUUGGCACCUCGAUGUCGGCUCAUCACAUCCUGGGGCUGAAGCCGGUCCCAAGGGUAUGGCUGUUCGCCAUUUAAAGUGGUACGCGAGCUGGGUUUAGAACGUCGUGAGACAGUUCGGUCCCUAUCUGCCGUGGACGUUUGAGAUUUGAGAGGGGCUGCUCCUAGUACGAGAGGACCGGAGUGGACGAACCUCUGGUGUUCCGGUUGUCACGCCAGUGGCAUUGCCGGGUAGCUAUGUUCGGGAAAGAUAACCGCUGAAAGCAUCUAAGCGGGAAACUUGCCUCAAGAUGAGAUCUCACUGGGACCUUGAGUCCCCUGAAGGGCCGUCGAAGACUACGACGUUGAUAGGCAGGGUGUGUAAGCGCUGUGAGGCGUUGAGCUAACCUGUACUAAUUGCCCGUGAGGCUUGACCAU